rnacentral:rRNA from 1 species
UAGGGAAUCUUCGGCAAUGGACGAAAGUCUGACCGAGCAACGCCGCGUGAGUGAAGAAGGUUUUCGGAUCGUAAAACUCUGUUGGUAGAGAAGAAUGACAUUGAGAGUAACUGUUCAAUGUGUGACGGUAUCUUACCAGAAAGGAACGGCUAAAUACGCGCCAG